rnacentral:lncRNA from 1 species
CUAAUCGCCCUCAAGCUGGGGAUUAACAAAUCUGUUAAAAAUAAUCUGCUGGGGAAUGAGAUGAACACUGGGAACACCACCCUCUCAUCUAUUGGUUAUGAAACCACUCCGCUGUUGCUAGGAAGAUACAGCCUGACACUGUCAACUCCGCUGGGGAUAUAUAGUCUGGAUACUGUCAACUCUGCUGGGGAACAUGCUC